rnacentral:rRNA from 1 species
CUGGUUGAUCCUGCCAGUAGUCAUAUGCUUGUCUCAAAGAUUAAGCCAUGCAUGUCUAAGUAUAAGCAACUAUACUGUGAAACUGAGAAUGGCUCAUUAAAUCAGUUAUGGUUUAUUUGAUGGUACCUUACUACUUGGAUAACCGUAGUAAUUUUAGAGCUAAUACAUGCAGGAAUGCCCGUCAGGGCUGUAUUUAUUAGAUAAGAAACCAAUCCAGCUUGCUGGUUGAGUGGUGAGUCACAAUAAAUGCUCGAAUCGCAUGACUUUUUGUCGGCGAUGGUUCAUUCAAAUUUUUGCCCUAUCAGCUUUCGAUGGUAGGAUAGAGGCCUACCAUGGCGUUAACGGGUAACGGAGAAUUAGGGUUCGAUUCCGGAGAGGGAGCCUGAGAAAUGGGGACCACAUCCAAAGAAGG